rnacentral:lncRNA from 1 species
GCUUUGCAGAUCCGGGACCGAGGAAACGCACCAGAGAUGGACGAGGCACUGGCGGGUAAGGUUUUGGGAAAGAAUCCCGUCUCCCCUAAAUUGCCCUACUUGGGUCGGCGGGGAGCGGGGAAUGCACGGGCCUUCGCCCACUGGACACGCUCCCCCGGUCCCAGAAGACACUUAUUUGUGUUAUGAAUUAAAUUGUUUUUAAUAAAUUAGUUUUAGUGUGUUGUGUAAUUCAUAUUUGUUAAAUUAAUCCAUUUUUUUAGGUUUUUAACUGUUGUUUACACACAAACACACAAACAAACAAACAUACAUGAACACUACUUGAACUAUGUAUAUGAUGUGUGCACCGCGACGACGUUUCGACCUAGUUUGGUCUUCAUCAGGUCUAUGCACAUGUAACAGCUAAGGCUGCUGGGCCCCAAUUCAUAGGGGUGAACCAGCCAGCAGCCGAACAGAAAUGAAAAUGAAAAGCCCUACCCACUUUUCUCCCUUUUAUAUUCCCUCAGCUAAAAAUUAGAAUGAAUUUACUUAUAUUUAAGUUAUUUUCUGCUCUAUUUAGUUUUUACAAUCUUAACCCUUUAUGCACCUGUUUGUGCUUUAAAUCCGUAUUAAUUAUGUUUAUUCACAUAUUUGUGCUUUAAUAAACAUAUUAAUAGGUAUAUGGUCCUGCUUGACCUUUGACCUCUGUGGCCUGCUUGGCCGUCGGUCAUUAAGUUGCCUCUAAUGGUUAGGGUUAGGGCGAGUCCCAGGUUAGGGUUAGAAUCCCAUACUAGGGUUAGGGUUAGGGUUAGAUUCCCAGGUUAGGGUUAGUGCUGGGGUUAGGGUUAGGGUUAGGGGUUAGGGUUAGGGGUUAGGGUUAGGGUUAGGGUUAGGGUUAGGGUUAGGGUUAGGGUUAGGGUUAGGGUUAGGGUUAGGGUUAGGGUUAGGGUUAGGGUUAGGGUUGGGGUUAGGGUUAGGGUUAGGGUUAGGGGUUAGGGUUAGGGUUAGGGGUUAGGGUUAGGGGGUUAGGGGUUAGGGUUAGGGUUAGGGUUAGGGUUAGGGUUAGGGGUUAGGGUUAGGGUUAGGGUUAGGGUUAGGGUUAGGGGUUAGGGUUAGGGUUGGGGUUGGGGUUGGGGUUAGGGUUAGGGUUAGGGUUAGGGUUAGGGUUAGGGUUAGGGUUAGGGUUACGGGAAAAGGGGGACUGUCUCCUAGGAUAGGAGACAGGAGGUGCACGGUUAGGGUUAGGGUUAGGGUUAGGGUUAGGGUUAGGGUUAGGGUUAGGGGUUAGGGUUAGGGUUAGGGUUAGGGUUAGGGGUUAGGGUUAGGGUUAGGGUUAGGGUUAGGGGUUAGGGUUAGGGUUAGGGUUAGGGUUAGGGGUUAGGGUUAGGGUUAGGAUAUAGGGAUAUGUGCCACUUUUGACAUGCCGGUUCAUUGCCUUUCCCAAUGAUGAACCGGGCUGAGAUUUGGUCUACCCCCCUAUUUUCGGGUAUGCUGAAUCUAGAAAUACUAAUGAACCAGCGAUCGGACAUUCCUAUCAAAAGUUAUGGCGAAAUGAAAAUUUCCCAUUGAAAAUGAAUGGGAGCGGAAAAAUGGCCAAAGUCAGUGUUUGCAAGUGUUGUACUUGUCUGGAACUGUUGAAAAUGCAUUGUGAGCACGUUUCAGGCCAUUUCCUGUCAUUUGAGGGCGACUUUGCAAAAAGGGGUGUCAUACCGCUUUUGACCAGAGGUGGCGCUGCACAUGUCCGACGGUUAGGGUUAGGGUGAGACUUUGGGCAAGGGGUUAGGGUUAGGGUUGGAGCUAGGGUUAGGGUUAGGGUUGGAGCUAGGGUUAGGGUUAGGGUUGGAGCUAGGGUUAGGGUUAGGGUUGGUGUUAUUGGAGAAAAAUCACAAGAUUUUCCGAAGUGUGGACCCAAUUUUUCACCUUCCAGAAUUGUGUUAGGAGCACGUUUCAGGCCACGGGGAGUCCAUAGAACCUGAUUCUGGGUGAAGUUUUCGGGGGUUGGAGCUUUGGGGCAGGAUAUAGGGAUAUGUGCCACUUUUGACAUGCCGGUUCAUUGCCUUUCCCAAUGAUGAACCGGGCUGAGAUUUGGUCUACCCCCCUAUUUUCGGGUAUGCUGAAUCUAGAAAUACUAAUGAACCAGCGAUCGGACAUUCCUAUCAAAAGUUAUGGCGAAAUGAAAAUUUCCCAUUGAAAAUGAAUGGGAGCGGAAAAAUGGCCAAAGUCAGUGUUUGCAAGUGUUGUACUUGUCUGGAACUGUUGAAAAUGCAUUGUGAGCACGUUUCAGGCCAUUUCCUGUCAUUUGAGGGCGACUUUGCAAAAAGGGGUGUCAUACCGCUUUUGACCAGAGGUGGCGCUGCACAUGUCCGACGGUUAGGGUUAGGGUGAGACUUUGGGCAAGGGGUUAGGGUUAGGGUUGGAGCUAGGGUUAGGGUUAGGGUUGGAGCUAGGGUUAGGGUUAGGGUUGGAGCUAGGGUUAGGGUUAGGGUUGGUGUUAUUGGAGAAAAAUCACAAGAUUUUCCGAAGUGUGGACCCAAUUUUUCACCUUCCAGAAUUGUGUUAGGAGCACGUUUCAGGCCACGGGGAGUCCAUAGAACCUGAUUCUGGGUUAGGGUUAGGGUUAGGGUUAGGGUUAGGGUUAGGGUUAGGGUUAGGGGUUAGGGUUAGGGUUAGGGUUAGGGUUAGGGUUAGGGUUAGGGUUAGGGGUUAGGGUUAGGGUUAGGGUUAGGGUUAGGGGUUAGGGUUAGGGUUAGGGUUAGGGUUAGGGUUAGGGUUAGGGGUUAGGGUUAGGGUUAGGGUUAGGGUUAGGGUUAGGGUUAGGGGUUAGGGUUAGGGUUAGGGUUAGGGUUAGGGUUAGGGUUAGGAUAUAGGGAUAUGUGCCACUUUUGACAUGCCGGUUCAUUGCCUUUCCCAAUGAUGAACCGGGCUGAGAUUUGGUCUACCCCCCUAUUUUCGGGUAUGCUGAAUCUAGAAAUACUAAUGAACCAGCGAUCGGACAUUCCUAUCAAAAGUUAUGGCGAAAUGAAAAUUUCCCAUUGAAAAUGAAUGGGAGCGGAAAAAUGGCCAAAGUCAGUGUUUGCAAGUGUUGUACUUGUCUGGAACUGUUGAAAAUGCAUUGUGAGCACGUUUCAGGCCAUUUCCUGUCAUUUGAGGGCGACUUUGCAAAAAGGGGUGUCAUACCGCUUUUGACCAGAGGUGGCGCUGCACAUGUCCGACGGUUAGGGUUAGGGUGAGACUUUGGGCAAGGGGUUAGGGUUAGGGUUGGAGCUAGGGUUAGGGUUAGGGUUGGAGCUAGGGUUAGGGUUAGGGUUGGAGCUAGGGUUAGGGUUAGGGUUGGUGUUAUUGGAGAAAAUCACAAGAUUUUCCGAAGUGUGGACCCAAUUUUUCACCUUCCAGAAUUGUGUUAGGAGCACGUUUCAGGCCACGGGGAGUCCAUAGAACCUGAUUCUGGGUUAGGGUUAGGGUUAGGGUUAGGGUUAGGGUUAGGGUUAGGGUUAGGGUUAGGGGUUAGGGUUAGGGUUAGGGUUAGGGUUAGGGUUAGGGUUAGGGGUUAGGGUUAGGGUUAGGGUUAGGGUUAGGGGUUAGGGUUAGGGUUAGGGUUAGGGUUAGGGUUAGGGUUAGGGGUUAGGGUUAGGGUUAGGGUUAGGGUUAGGGUUAGGGGUUAGGGUUAGGGUUAGGGUUAGGGUUAGGGUUAGGGUUAGGAUAUAGGGAUAUGUGCCACUUUUGACAUGCCGGUUCAUUGCCUUUCCCAAUGAUGAACCGGGCUGAGAUUUGGUCUACCCCCCUAUUUUCGGGUAUGCUGAAUCUAGAAAUACUAAUGAACCAGCGAUCGGACAUUCCUAUCAAAAGUUAUGGCGAAAUGAAAAUUUCCCAUUGAAAAUGAAUGGGAGCGGAAAAAUGGCCAAAGUCAGUGUUUGCAAGUGUUGUACUUGUCUGGAACUGUUGAAAAUGCAUUGUGAGCACGUUUCAGGCCAUUUCCUGUCAUUUGAGGGCGACUUUGCAAAAAGGGGUGUCAUACCGCUUUUGACCAGAGGUGGCGCUGCACAUGUCCGACGGUUAGGGUUAGGGUGAGACUUUGGGCAAGGGGUUAGGGUUAGGGUUGGAGCUAGGGUUAGGGUUAGGGUUGGAGCUAGGGUUAGGGUUAGGGUUGGAGCUAGGGUUAGGGUUAGGGUUGGUGUUAUUGGAGAAAAAUCACAAGAUUUUCCGAAGUGUGGACCCAAUUUUUCACCUUCCAGAAUUGUGUUAGGAGCACGUUUCAGGCCACGGGGAGUCCAUAGAACCUGAUUCUGGGUUAGGGUUAGGGUUAGGGUUAGGGUUAGGGUUAGGGUUAGGGUUAGGGGUUAGGGUUAGGGUUAGGGUUAGGGUUAGGGUUAGGGUUAGGGUUAGGGGUUAGGGUUAGGGUUAGGGUUAGGGUUAGGGUUAGGGGUUAGGGUUAGGGUUAGGGUUAGGGUUAGGGUUAGGGUUAGGGUUAGGGUUAGGGUUAGGGUUAGGGUUAGGGUUAGGGGUUAGGGUUAGGGUUAGGGUUAGGGUUAGGGUUAGGGUUAGGAUAUAGGGAUAUGUGCCACUUUUGACAUGCCGGUUCAUUGCCUUUCCCAAUGAUGAACCGGGCUGAGAUUUGGUCUACCCCCUAUUUUCGGGUAUGCUGAAUCUAGAAAUACUAAUGAACCAGCGAUCGGACAUUCCUAUCAAAAGUUAUGGCGAAAUGAAAAUUUCCCAUUGAAAAUGAAUGGGAGCGGAAAAAUGGCCAAAGUCAGUGUUUGCAAGUGUUGUACUUGUCUGGAACUGUUGAAAAUGCAUUGUGAGCACGUUUCAGGCCAUUUCCUGUCAUUUGAGGGCGACUUUGCAAAAAGGGGUGUCAUACCGCUUUUGACCAGAGGUGGCGCUGCACAUGUCCGACGGUUAGGGUUAGGGUGAGACUUUGGGCAAGGGGUUAGGGUUAGGGUUGGAGCUAGGGUUAGGGUUAGGGUUGGAGCUAGGGUUAGGGUUAGGGUUGGAGCUAGGGUUAGGGUUAGGGUUGGUGUUAUUGGAGAAAAAUCACAAGAUUUUCCGAAGUGUGGACCCAAUUUUUCACCUUCCAGAAUUGUGUUAGGAGCACGUUUCAGG